GACGGAGGAUGCAAGCGUUAUCCGGAAUGAUUGGGCGUAAAGCGUCCGCAGGUGGCAGUUCAAGUCUGCUGUCAAAGACCGGGGCUUAACUUCGGAAAGGCAGUGGAAACUGAACAGCUAGAGUAUGGUAGGGGCAGAGGGAAUUCCUGGUGUAGCGGUGAAAUGGCGGUAGAGAUCAGGAAGAACAUCGGUGGACGAAGGCGCUCUGCUGGACCAUAACUGACACUCAGGGACGAAAGCUAGGGGAGCGAAUGGG
rnacentral:rRNA from 1 species